UCACUCUGGCUUCUCUUCAACGUAUGAUUCUUUCGCCUUUUACUAAAGAAUUCCGUGGAGAGGAGCAGUUCAGUUCAUUGAGUCUUGAACCUUUUUCGAUAUCCGACUUCGGUCGGUUU
rnacentral:snRNA from 1 species